rnacentral:rRNA from 1 species
CACGUAGGGGGCGAGCGUUGUCCGGAUUUAUUGGGCGUAAAGAGCUCGUAGGCGGCUCGGUAAGUCAGGUGUGAAAACUCUAGGCUCAACCUAGAGACGCCACCUGAUACUGCUGUGGCUAGAGUCCGGUAGGGGAGCAUGGAAUUCCUGGUGUAGCGGUGAAAUGCGCAGAUAUCGGGAGGAACACCGGUGGCGAAGGCGGCGACCUGGGUAGAUACUGACGCUGAGGCGCGAAAGCGUGGGGAGCAAACAGG